AUUUCUGCAAUUCCACCAUCAUUGCUGAUUUAUCCUUCCCAAGAACAACGGUUGGCUGGUCUGCUUAUUCAGAACAAUUGUGUGGUGAGGAGACAACCAGUGCCGGUUUACCAGAAGCCUCAGCAAGAUGUUUGAAUGACACUGGCUCUCCGAUGUUUGGUCCUCCUCAGGAGCUGCAGUGUGAAUUAACCCUCAGUGGCAUUCAAGGAAAUAUCUCCAGCAGUUCAGGUGAUUUAGCACAGCUAGCCUUCAGUACUCAGAUCCUGACCUCCCAACCAGAGCUGCUAUCAGCUGACAGCAUCACCACAGCAGCUCAGAUAGCUAACAAGCUGCUUCAGUCUGUA